CCACAUACACACACACCAACAGUAGCGCACACAAGCGGACAGUCACACACACACACACACACACACACACACACACACACACACACGGGUACAUUUACCCAUGCAUACCCUAGCACACACACACACACACACACACACACACACAAAAGCAUUCAUUCAAACACACAUACAAUAGAAUGCCGACAUGUGAUUUUCCAUUCAAACGAACACUCACACAUCCACACAAUGAUGGCUCUGCAACACAUGUAAGUGUGUGUGUGUGUGUGUGUGUGUGUGUGUGUGUGUGUGUGUGUGUGUGUGUGUGUGUGUGUGUGUGUGUGUGUGUGUGUGAGUGUGAGUGUGAGUGUGUGUGUUGUGAGUGUGUGUGUGAUUGUGUGUGUGUGGUCAGAUUAAGAACAGUUUGAGACGCCGGGUAGCCAACAGGAAAUGACAGGGGUCAGGGUGGUGGGGCCCUGGAGGAGGCUCUGGGAAAGACAGAAUAAUAGAUGUGGUGCGCGGGGAGACGAGUUUGUGUUAGUUUGUGUGAGUGUGUGUUAGUGUGUGUUACACACGCUCAUGCAUCACUUUGGGGAAAUUCAACCCCGCCGCCCAAAUACAUAAACAGAUGAAUGAUCACAUGAAUGACCGGCUCUCAUGGAGGAACUAAAUGCAUAAGCCUUCAGACUUAAUGUGUUGCAGUGUAAUAUAUGUAUGAUAUGUGUCACGUCGUGACUAUAUGUUAUGAUCGUUUGUGCGAUUUACAUUUCUUUUGAAUACAUUUUGAGCAUGAUGCAAUAUCAAUGACCUUGUAUGACUGCUAUGGUCUAUAUAUCUUUGGAUAAAUUGUUUUCACGGCGUUACACUGUGUCAUCGUCAUGUUUGCCGUCAUCAACUGCAUAAAUGGCAUCUCUGUAGAAUCUAUGAGCUCAAUGUUAGGCCAAAGUCACCGAUCAAGACGUUUGAGUUGUUGCAGCCGCACUGCUGAAGAAACUCUUUUUGGCAUGUGUUGAGACGGUUUUUCGUCCAGUUGAAUCCUCAGUGUCGGAGGCUGAGCCAAUAGAAUCAAGGCGUGGGAGAAACAGGCCUCCGACGUUCAGCUCAAGCCAAUGUUACAGAGUAGCAGAUGUUUCCCCGAGCAGCCAAUGGGAAUCCUGCGUUCCAGGUUGUGGCUUGUGUCGAUAUUCACCACCAGAUGAGUUUAGCAUAGCAUCGAUGGGACUAAACAGGGAUUAAAGAUAUUUAUAAAGUUUGAGGAGUCAUGGUAGAACAAAACGUUUCACCGUUCUGGAAGGAAAAAGGUGCUCUGGGGGAGGGGGAACGCAACAAUAACAAAACAACAACAAAAUUGUUUACCCUGGGCUUCUUCCAUGUGUUCACAGCCUCUACUGUUGACGAGCGUGGAAAGAAAAGUUGCCUGCGACUGAAAGUGUUCGUCAGACCUGCAAACAAUUGUGUGAAAAGCCCUGGCAACGCGCAGGAAGGCGUCGAUUUUGAUGAGCGAAGCCACAAUUCCCUGGAACCGCGAGACGACACCAGCCACGAGGCGGCCGAGCCCUCCCGCGGGGACGUCAGCUCGGCCGGGCGGAGCUUCAACUCCCAGUGCCUGCUCAGCUGCUCCCUCCUCUUCCUCCUGCUCCUCUUCGUCCCAGGGGGGACCCCUCUGUCUUUAUAGCGUCGAGCACGUCGCCCCACAAAAAGACAAAUGGACUGUCCCAUGCGGACCUUACAGACACCCCACCUGCCCCCGCCCCCAUCCCCCACCACCCCGACCCAGCCCACCUGAUCUCUCUCACAGGCCCCGCCCCCACGACCCCGACCCAGCCCACCUGAUCUCCUCUCACAGCCCCCACCCCCCCCCCCCCGUCCCCCCACACCCAGAAGAGCACUUUGGACUAAAACGAAAGCGACAAUCUCUCUCACCCUGGGGAAGCUAAUAGGGGAGGGGGGGGGGGGGGGGGGGGGACGACACUAUGGGAGCUUUGUUUGUUUGCGACAUCGGGAGAUGGAGAAAAAAAAAAGAAAGUGAAAUGCCAAUUAGUGUGUUUGUUGUUCACGCGUUUUAACGGUGGAUGCCGGUCGUCAAGGCGACGACCUCUGAAUUAGCCCGGAUGGUGCUGUAAAGUUGUUAGUAUGCAGAUAUUAAAAAAACACAGUUCUAACAACGCAGAGCUUGUCACACAAACAGCAACACACAACAAUAGACAGACGCGCAUACAUGUUUCUGCCACACACACACACACUCAAACUGACCCAAAACACUAAACAAACUCAAACGGAUCAUUCUUUUUUCUGCCAACAUUUGAAAAACAGUAAGCACAAAUACGAUCACCCCUCAAAAUCUCCUCAUCUUCGAAAUGUUGCGUUGACAUCCCAUGUCAUGUUGCGUCACAUGACCAUGAAAAGAAGUUCAAGAAGUUCUCUGGAACUUGAUCCACCAGACCCAUUGAUAAUCAGGUACGCAUGCGGGCCGAUAGGAAGGCAAAUCAAGGAUCUUUGGGGAUGUUUUUUUUCAGACUCAUUGCCAAGAGGAAGGAUUGAGACUUUUGGACUUUUGAUUAAAAUUAUUAUGAGUUUGGAUUUUGCUGUCUCAGAGACCAGGGAAGAUUGAAAGACUUCCCAAAAACAGUGAAGAGCAGAGAGGAAAAAAAUCAGGAAAGAAAGACCUCAACUUUUAGUAGUUUCUUUGCUCUGAGUUUGGUGUUGGGGGGGUUAGGGUCUGAGAGGGAUUGCAUAAUGUAUUUUAUAGAAAUGAAUCUCAUUAUUCAAGUGUAGCAGCCCUUACAGGCCUGUUCUAUAUUUGAGAGGAUGAAUUCGUAGAAGUCGAUAUGGUAUUUUGCCAGGCAAACGUAUUUUCCUAUUUAUUGUGAAGUCCUUGUGCUUUUUUUCUGUUCUGGUUUGGUCUCUGCUACAGUAGAACAAGUGAAAACAUUUCCCAACGCCCUAGCAACCGUUCCAUUUGAACGGUUGCUAGGGCAGUAUCGUAUAAAAGGUUUUUAUUUCUUACAAUCUGCUCAUUGUAUACAGUCGCUAGCUCUUCAUUUAGUAAACCUCAAUUAACUGGAUCUUUUUUACGCGUUUUAAACAGGCUGUCGUAAUCAUAUUAAGUAUGGGUAUUUGUGUUUCAGAUUAGUCAUAACAAAUUGCACACGGAACAUGUCUGUUUUUAUUCUUACUUCUCAUCCAGUCGCUUUUAUUAAUCACUAUCAUAACAUGACAAGAUUACAAUUAUGUACAUAAGAAUCAAAAUCCUACAAACAAAUUCAGGGACGUGUCCAUGCCUACCAUGAGAGUCAGAGCCACGGUCAGCGCUCCACAGUGAGGUUAGGGGGUCCGCACGACCCCGACGACACGCAGGGAGCACACGGCUCCAUACUUUUCAGUGGCUAUCGAUGUUUGCAGAGUGACCACUUGAUUUAGAGGCCCCCCCUUGUUUGAUUAAGUGGCCCCCUCGAUUUGAUGUCGUGCAGAGCUGCCCCUUGAAGAACCAUCAGCAGGGACCCUCCUCUUCCUCGUAAUUGCCGGCGCGCAGGAUGAACCAACGAGAGAGGAAGAUAGGGACAGUGAGAGAGGGAUGACAGAGAGAGAGAGAGGGAGAACUGAGAGAGAGAGCGGACUGCAACAGAGGACAGAGAGAGAGAGAGAGCGGACUGCAACAGAGGACAGAGAGAGAGAGAGAGCGGACUGCAACAGAGGACAGAGAGAGAGAGAGAGCGGACUGCAACAGAGGACAGAGAGAGAGAGAGAGGACUGCAACAGAGGACAGAGAGAGAGAGAGAGGACUGCAACAGAGGACUGAGAGAGGGAUACUGUACUGCAGGAGUCGGCGUUCGUUCUCUGCAAUGAAUGUCAUUCUGACACUUGGUGGAGGUGAGAGAUAUGAAGCUAGAGGGGGAAGGUACUAUAUAUAUAUAUAUAUAUAUGUAUAUAUAUUGUACACAUAACCGUAAGACUGCGCAUAAAAGGUUUUCACCAGAAGAGAAUAUGAUUGGGUUACCGAUGUGCUCCGGGGAGAAACCAGGCGUUCGUAAAAAGCCCGGCCGCGGUCGUUCUAUGGGGAAUUCAGAAAGCUGGCUACCACGGUAACCUGGUUACAGUCAGGUGGUGUGCACAUCAACGCACAACACUUGUAGAGCAUUGCCCCGCUGCUUACUACGGUCAAACUCGUGGUAUGAUGAGACUGAUAGUAACACACGGUCAGUGGCAUCGGUCCCUCCAUCCCUCGACCACAGACCGGGAACUCCCAAGUCGGUGCGCCUGUGGAUACUGUGUAUCCAGCGAUGAAUCAACGUACAACUUUCAGUGUUCGAUUUUUUUCCACACCCUCUUUUUGUAGGAGCAAUUUAACCCAAGACACAAGAUUACCCCGUGGCUAGAGAGUCGAUGUUUGAUAUAAAAAAAAAAAAAACUGCUUCAUUUCAUUUUUCUAUGUCUUUUUCUAUGAACAAAAAAAAAAGAUUGCACCCUAUCUGUUUGUUGGAGAUAAUGCUUGUGUGCAGUGCAGAUAUGGCACAUAUCAAAAACAUGAAUUCUGUCAGUGUUCGGCAUUACGACUAUUUCCAUCCAUCUCACUAACCAGAACUUUGUCUACUUUCUACCUUUACUGUUGUGUACCCCACUGUGGCGUCGGCACCUCUCGGGGUUGCUGAGCGUUUGUGAAUCCCCGUGCUUGGUUUGUACCCUUCACUUCUUGUUCACUUUCACAUUUUUAUGCUAAGCUACGAUAGCAGUCACAUCAUGUAUGACCUCCAUUGCGGAGAUGGCGAACUCUUUUCUUUUUUGUACAGAAGCCUGAUUGCAAAAGUGUUUGUUUUGUAUUAGCAGGAGAAUUUGAGGUAACUUUAGUCCAUUUCUGUUUCUAUUUAAUGUUCCAUGUGGUUUCUUUUUUGUACGAGGAGGGAGAGUUAGGUUUAAAAAAAAGAUAUAUACAAAAAAGAGAGACUGCGCUUCACUUGACUGUGGUAACAUGUAGCCUGAAGCUAACACCACUGUGCCCCUGGUUGCCUAGUGACUCUGUCCCCCUCCCCCCCACUCCAACGUCCCUAAAGUCAAUACAGGAAGUGCAGGAGGGGUAUCCAUCCGUCCGAUCGAAUGAGCCACAUCACACGCCUGCAUCCCCAUUGAACUGUACGAGUCUGCUCCAUAGAGUGAUGCGUGGGCACUCCAGAGUGCAACGCUGUCGGCGGUACCGUGUGCCUAGAUCACUCCUGUCCCACCGUCGCCUUCCUGUAACCCCGCCCAGGGCUAAUUAUCUAUUUAUUGUAUCUGCUGUCUCUUGUUUUUUGUUCUCUCUCUCUUUAUCUAUUUUUCUCUGUCUCUCUUUUUUUCUCUCUUUCUCGUUUCUCUCUCUGUCUCUCUUUUUUUCUCUCUCUCUGUCACUUUUUUUCUCUCUUUUUUCCUCUGUUUCUCUGUUUCUCUAUCUCUUGCUCUCGCUCUCUGUCUCUAUGACUCUUUUCUUUUUUUUUCUUAUCACUCUCUCUCUAUCUCUCUCUCUCUCUCUCUCUCUCUCUCUCUCUCUCUCUCUCUCUCUCUCUCUCUCUCUCUCGCUCUAGACUAGAGUAUUGACUCUCCUUCAUGAUAAAUUCCUUCACUCCCGUUAAAUUUUUUUAUUGUUUUUGAUUUAUUUUAUUAUUUUCGUUUUUCUACAAAAGAAGGCCAUUGUUUGUAAAUACACGUGUUGGAGCAGCUAUGACUAACUAACAACAAAAAAGAAAAAAAGACUUAAUAAAUAUUUCUUUGUCGUUGUAA